rnacentral:rRNA from 1 species
GACGAACGCUGGCGGCGUGCUUAACACAUGCAAGUCGAACGGAAAGGCCCUGCUUUUGUGGGGUGCUCGAGUGGCGAACGGGUGAGUAACACGUGAGUAACCUGCCCUUGACUUUGGGAUAACUUCAGGAAACUGGGGCUAAUACCGGAUAGGAGCUCCUGCUGCAUGGUGGGGGUUGGAAAGUUUCGGCUGUUGGGGAUGGACUCGCGGCUUAUCAGCUUGUUGGUGGGGUAGUGGCUUACCAAGGCUUUGACGGGUAGCCGGCCUGAGAGGGUGACCGGCCACAUUGGGACUGAGAUACGGACCAGACUCCUACGGGAGGCAGCAGUGGGGAAUAUUGCACAAUGGGCGGAAGCCUGAUGCAGCAACGCCGCGUGCGGGAUGACGGCCUUCGGGUUGUAAACCGCUUUCGCCUGUGACGAAGCGUGAGUGACGGUAAUUGGUAAAGAAGCACCGGCUAACUACGUG